GACGAACGCUGGCGGCGUGCUUAACACAUGCAAGUCGAACGGAAAGGCCCUGCUUUUGUGGGGUGCUCGAGUGGCGAACGGGUGAGUAACACGUGAGUAACCUGCCCUUGACUUUGGGAUAACUUCAGGAAACUGGGGCUAAUACCGGAUAGGAGCUCCUGCUGCAUGGUGGGGGUUGGAAAGUUUCGGCGGUUGGGGAUGGACUCGCGGCUUAUCAGCUUGUUGGUGGGGUAGUGGCUUACCAAGGCUUUGACGGGUAGCCGGCCUGAGAGGGUGACCGGCCACAUUGGGACUGAGGUACGGCCCAGACUCCUACGGGAGGCAGCAGUGGGGAAUAUUGCACAAUGGGCGGAAGCCUGAUGCAGCAACGCCGCGUGCGGGAUGACGGCCUUCGGGUUGUAAACCGCUUUCGCCUGUGACGAAGCGUGAGUGACGGUAAUGGGUAAAGAAGCACCGGCUAACUACGUGCCAGCAGCCGCGGUGAUACGUAGGGUGCGAGCGUUGUCCGGAUUUAUUGGGCGUAAAGGGCUCGUAGGUGGUUGAUCGCGUCGGAAGUGUAAUCUUGGGGCUUAACCCUGAGCGUGCUUUCGAUACGGGUUGACUUGAGGAAGGUAGGGGAGAAUGGAAUUCCUGGUGGAGCGGUGGAAUGCGCAGAUAUCAGGAGGAACACCAGUGGCGAAGGCGGUUCUCUGGGCCUUUCCUGACGCUGAGGAGCGAAAGCGUGGGGAGCGAACAGGCUUAGAUACCCUGGUAGUCCACGCUGUAAACGGUGGGUACUAGGUGUGGGGUCCAUUCCACGGGUUCCGUGCCGUAGCUAACGCUUUAAGUACCCCGCCUGGGGAGUACGGCCGCAAGGCUAAAACUCAAAGGAAUUGACGGGGCCCCGCACAAGCGGCGGAGCAUGCGGAUUAAUUCGAUGCAACGCGUAGAACCUUACCUGGGUUUGACAUGGAUCGGGAGCGCUCAGAGAUGGGUGUGCCUCUUUUAGGGUCGGUUCACAGGUGGUGCAUGGCUGUCGUCAGCUCGUGUCGUGAGAUGUUGGGUUAAGUCCCGCAACGAGCGCAACCCUUGUUCACUGUUGCCAGCACGUUAUGGUGGGGACUCAGUGGAGACCGCCGGGGUCAACUCGGAGGAAGGUGGGGAUGACGUCAAGUCAUCAUGCCCCUUAUGUCCAGGGCUUCACGCAUGCUACAAUGGCUGGUACAGAGAGUGGCGAGCCUGUGAGGGUGAGCGAAUCUCGGAAAGCCGGUCUCAGUUCGGAUUGGGGUCUGCAACUCGACCUCAUGAAGUCGGAGUCGCUAGUAAUCGCAGAUCAGCAACGCUGCGGUGAAUACGUUCCCGGG
rnacentral:rRNA from 1 species